rnacentral:rRNA from 1 species
GAUGAACGCUGGCGGCGUGCUUAAUACAUGCAAGUCGAACGGAGACAGUAGCAAUAUUGUCUUAGUGGCGAACGGGUGAGUAACGCGUUGGUGACCUGCCCCGAAGAGGGGGAUAACAGUUCGAAAGGUCUGCUAAUACCGCAUAAUCUGCGACGAGUUAGAGAGGUCGUAAGAAAGCCGAAAGGCGCUUUGGGAGGGGCCUGCGUCCCAUCAGCUAGUUGGUAAGGUAAAGGCUUACCAAGGCGAUGACGGGUAGGGGACCUGAGAGGGUGGCCCCCCACAAUGGAACUGAAACACGGUCCAUACACCUACGGGUGGCAG